UUCAGUAAUUUCUAAGACGAUGUCCUGGGGCAAUACAAGUAUGGUUAUAACUUUUAUAAUACUAUCCCCUCAGCCACCUGCUAGAUCAGCUGAGAAGAGGAUGGACGAGCCAGAUCCAGGUGCACAUCUAAAUCUGAAAGGUGGACUUAAAAUCCUUGGGUGGAGUUUAUAAAAGUUAAUGUAGCCACUUUGGAAAACAGUUUGGCAGUUUCUCAAAAAGUUAAACAUAAAGCUACCAUGUGACCCAACAUUUCAUUCCUAGGUAUCUACCCAAGAGAACUGAAAACAUAUGUCCACAUAAAGACUUGCACGUGAAUGCUCAUAGGAGUAUUAUUCAUAAUCGCCUCAAGCUGGAAACAAUCUAAAUGUCCAUCAGUUGAUGAAUAAACAGACAAAAUGAGGUUCAGUUAUACAAUGGAAAACUGAGCAAGAAAAGGGAACAAACUGAUACAUGCUACAUGGAUGAACCUUGAAAACAUUAUGCUAAGUGAAAGAACUCAAACUGAACUCAAGAUUUCAACACUGAGGACUGAUCGUCUGCGUCUUUCUACUGCUUCAUCCAACCCUCAGAGUACCGUGGGAGACCCAACUUGGAGGAAUGGUGGUUAAGAAAACUGUGCCAUGGGCUUCCCUGGUGGCGCAGUGGUUGAGAAUCCGCCUGCCGAUGCAGGGGACACGGGUUUGUGCCCCGGUCCGGGAUGAUCCCACAUGCCGCGGAGCGGCUGGGCCCGUGAGCCAUGGCCGCUGGGCCUGCGCGUCCGGAGCCUGUGCUCUGCAACGGGAGAGGCCACAACAGUGAGAGGCCUGCGUACCACAAAAAAAAUAAAUAAAUAAAAAGAGAUACCUUGUGCCAGGUGAGCUGGAGCGAAUUCAGCUCUGUCUUAUCGGCAAUGAGAGUACCAAAAUAAUACAGACACAAAGAAAAGCCUUUAUCUGGACACCAUAACUUGAUGCAAAGGACAAGUGUCACCUUAUGCUUCAGCUUGCUGGAUUUUGAUCCACAUUGAGAAAGGCCUGCCGCUUUGUAUACGUGCUCUCUUCUGAAGGCAGCUUUAACACUAACAUCCCCGGUACCCACACACAUCUCCCUGAACCUGUCUCAGUGUGUUGGGGAGUUGUUCCUUCGGCACCAGUACCCAACCAUAGAAGACAGAAUAUAAAGUCUUCCUCAAUCCCACAUGAACCACGUCAGUCGUGAGAUGGUAAGAGGGGCCAUGUUAGCAAAUAACUGCCAACUAUUCUGAAGCCAAAGCCAUUCGUUCUGGUAACGACUUCUAGAAAUAUAACUGACUUAAAUUAUUUUUUUGAUUUGGAGUAGAGUUGAUUUACAAUGUUGUGUUAGUUUCUGCUGUACAGCAAAGUGAGUCAGUUAUGCAUAUACAUAUAUCCACUCCUUUUUAGAUUCUGUUCCCAUAUAGGUCACGACAGAGUACUGAGAAGAGUUCCCUGUGCUAUACAGUAGGUCCUUCUUAGUUAUCUAUUUUAUAUAUAGUAGUGUGUAUAUGUCAAUCCCAAUCUCCCAGUUUAUCCCUCCCCCCUUUCCCCUGGUAACUGUAAGUUUGUUUUCUACAUCUGUGACUCUAUUUUUGUUU